rnacentral:rRNA from 1 species
UGAGGAAUAUUGGUCAAUGGGCGAGAGCCUGAACCAGCCAAGUCGCGUGAAGGAUGACUGUCUUAUGGAUUGUAAACUUCUUUUAUACGGGAAUAACAAGAGCCACGUGUGGCUCCCUGCAUGUACCGUAUGAAUAAGCAUCGGCUAACUCCGUGCCAGCAGCCGCGGUAAUACGGAGGAUGCGAGCGUUAUCCGGAUUUAUUGGGUUUAAAGGGUGCGUAGGCGGCCUGUUAAGUCAGCGGUGAAAUCUAGGAGCUUAACUCCUAAAUUGCCAUUGAAACUGGCGGGCUUGAGUGUAGAUGAGGUAGGCGGAAUGCGUGGUGUAGCGGUGGAAUGCAUAGAUAUCACGCAGAACUCCAAUUGCGAAGGCAGCUUACUAAGGUACAACUGACGCUGAAGCACGAAAGCGUGGGUAUCAAACAGGAUUAGAUACCCUGGUAGUCCACGCAGUAAACGAUGAUAACUGGGCGUAUGCGAUAUACAGUAUGCUCCUAAGCGAAAGCGUUAAGUUAUCCACCUGGGGAGUACGCCGGCAACGGUG